GUUUACAUGUCUGGUCACACUCUGUCGCCAGCAAAACAAUUGCACAUCUACAUAGAUUCGGAAAAGGUUGAACAAAUUUUCUAUUUUUUUCAAUUGCUAACCGUAUGAGCGCCAAAAUAUGAAGUGGUGCAGUUUAUGCCGUAAAGUCGACAAUGAUGUGAAAUUGGUUCAUGUACCGAAAUGUUUAGAGAAGAGAAAAUUGUGGGAGAAAAGUCUGGACUGCAGCCUUACUGUGAACUCGAAAAUUUGCGAUUCACAUUUCGAUGCUUCACAGUGGAAGUCGUCCACAAUUAGAGGGCAGAUAUGUAAAAAAAGGCGACUUAACUCUGAUGCUGUUCCGCAAAAAACAGAGCCUAAACAAGAAAUUGUUAAAUUAGGCUUCGCAAACUCGAGUACGCAAACAGAGGACAACGUGAUAAAUCAUGCAAUACGUGUGGAGAACGAGAGUCUGAGGAAACAGAAUCGUCGAAUGCAGAAGGAAAUGCAUUCUUUACGUCAGCAACUUGAGGACUUUAAGGAAUUGGAAAUCAGUCUAAAAACCAUUUUCACCGAGACCCAAAUAAAUAUAUUGAAGAGUGGAGGCAA